rnacentral:rRNA from 1 species
CGGGGAAUAUUGGACAAUGGGGGGAACCCUGAUCCAGCCAUGCCGCGUGUGUGAAGAAGGCCUUUUGGUUGUAAAGCACUUUAAGCGAGGAGGAGGCUACUCUAGUUAAUACCUGGGGAUAGUGGACGUUACUCACAGAAUAAGCACCGGCUAACCCUGUGCCAGCAGCCGCGGUAAUACAGAGGGUGCGAGCGUUAAUCGGAUUUACUGGGCGUAAAGCGUGCGUAGGCGGCUUUUUAAGUCGGAUGUGAAAUCCCUGAGCUUAACUUAGGAAUUGCAUUCGAUACUGGGAAGCUAGAGUAUGGGAGAGGAUGGUAGAAUUCCAGGUGUAGCGGUGAAAUGCGUAGAGAUCUGGAGGAAUACCGAUGGCGGAGGCAGCCAUCUGGCCUAAUACUGACGCUGAGGUACGAAAGCAUGGGGAGCAAACGG